GCCGGGCAUGGUGUUGCAUGCCUGUAAUCCCAGCUACUCGGAGGCUGAGGCAGGAGAAUCGCUUGAGCCCAGGAGGCAGAGGUUGCAGUGAGCCGAGAUCACAUCAUUGCACUCCAGCUUGGGCAACAAGAGCGAAACUCUGUCUCAA
rnacentral:SRP_RNA from 1 species